GCGUCUGAUUAGCUAGUUGGUGAGGUAAUGGCUCACCAAGGCGACGAUCAGUAGCCGACCUGAGAGGGUGAUCGGCCACACUGGAACUGAGACACGGUCCAGACUCCUACGGGAGGCAGCAGUGGGGAAUAUUGCACAAUGGGCGAAAGCUGAUGCAGCAACGCCGCGUGAGCAUGAAGGCCUUCGGGUCGUAAAGCUCUGUCCUAAGGGAAGAAUUUUGACGGUACCUUAGGAGGAAGCCCCGGCUAACUACGUGCCAGCAGCCGC
rnacentral:rRNA from 1 species